rnacentral:lncRNA from 1 species
AGACCAUUAGCUAUAUCAGUAGCAAUCUGCAUACGAGAUAACCACGAUGAUAAAACUGUGUAACUGGGGUUCUGUGGAUUCCUAAGACAAGUAGCUAAAUUUGCACCAUGAACAUACUCAUAAACAAGAUAGAUAGAGUUCCCUGGAGAGGAAACACCAAGAAGCUUGAUCACGCUACUGUGAUGACUCCUGCAAAUAGUCAGUAACUUCUUUCGAAGCUCAGGUAAUCCAAUCUGACGGCGAAACUUGCGUUGAAAAAUAAUCACUUCUUUUCCACGAAUUGAGCAUCUCCAAGAGGUUGAUGAAGAGGAAGAAGAAAAGGGUUUCUUUAAAAAGUUGUUGGUAGUUUUACAGAUUUCAGAGAAGUCAUAAAUGUGAGGGUUUUCUGGUAAUGAGUCUUUGAGGCUGGAAAGAGAUGUUUUGCUUGAGAAAGACAGGGACUUUGAUGCUUCUGAACAGGUUGGAGAGUCAUUUGUUGAUGGGUAGUUGUUAGAUGAUGGGUUGAUCAAAGAGGAAGCAGGUGAUGAUGAUGUUGCUGAUGGUGAUGGUGAUGGUGAUGGUGACGGUGACGGUGACGGUGACGAUUUUAAGGACUUCGAUGUCUUGGAUUUUGGGUAAAGAGAGUUGAUUAUGUUCAUGUUCUUUUUUUAUUUGCGCAAGAGCAAAGAAAUCUUUGAAACAGAAAUUUGAUUGUUUACUUUGGGGGCAUGAGAAAGGAGAAACCAAGAUAUUUCGAUUUGUAGAAAUCUAGGAAUUUUAGGCUGUUUGUUGUUUUUGCCUUUUUGGAGGUUUCCAGUUAGGUCCUUGUCCAGUUAUUUUUUUUUUUUUCAAUGGAAGAAAUAAGAAGAAUAAAAGUCAUGUGUGGGUCUUCUAUUUUACGUAUUUAAUUAAGUUAAAUUAAUCUGAGAUCCUUCAUCCAAUUAUAUCAUUACAUAUGGAAUCCAUGCAAUCUAGUAAAAUAAGUAGACAAAGUUAAAAAUAUAGUUGUGGAUUGUUUUUUAAAAAAUCCAAGACUAGAACUUAAUUUAGCCUAUUGAUUUGUUAAAACCAACUCAAUUGGUUUUUUUAAAACAUGAAUAACUCGAUUAAACUUGAUUCAAACCUAGUAGAUUAAACAUAAUAAAAAACAUAAACAAUAAAAAAUUAUUUUAAUAAAAACAAUUAAUCAAGAUUCAUCUAAUAAUAUAUAACCUCAUCCGAAAAAGUUGAUGACUAAUGCUUUUUUUUUUUUCUGAUUAAUUCUCAAAUCUAUAACUGUUAUGAGACCCGAUCGAUAAUCAAUCUGACUAAAGUUUGAGUUUAUAGAUAAAAUAGAUUAACUUGAAUAAAUUAAAAAUCUUUAAAAAAAAACUCUAAAAUGAUAUCAUUUUUAAAUUUUUUUUAUUGACCACUCUUAAACCAAACCACCGAGUUAACCUACUAACCAGGAUUGAACUCUUAUAGUUAGGCUGAAAUCGAGUCUUAUAAAUAUGGUCACGAGGGCUAAGUGACUUUUUAAUUAGCAGUGAAAGAGUAAAUUUUAUAUAAUUUAAAAUAAACGAUUUGACUUAAUAAAUAUAAAUAAAAUAGAGGGACCACACUUGAUUUUUAGUCAUGUAAAUCAUCUUGGGUCUUCGGCCGAAGUUAGAAAAGACGCGGUUCGUCUUUGGUGCACGCUUGUAUCCUUUAUUUUUUAUUUUAAUGUUUUAAAAAAAUUAUUUUAAAUUAAUUUUUUUGAUAUUUUUUUAUUAUUUUAAUAUAUUAAUAUUAAAAAUAAUUUUUAAAAAAUAAAAAAAAUAUUAUUUUAAUAUAUUUUUAAGUAGAAAUCACUUUAAAAAUUAACCGCAAUCAUAUUCUUAAUUCAAAUUUUUCUUGGAUUUUCUUUAAAAUUUUGUGUAAUGUUUUAUUAUCUAUCAUAAUUCAUUCCUGAUUUUAAAUUAAAUUAAAAUAAAAUAAAUACUGAUACUGCAUUUUUUAAAAAUUCCAAUUACUACUUUGCUCACAUUAUACUAAGUAAUUUAUUCCCCAUUUUUGUAAUCAAAUAAUCACGGCCUAAACCACUGGGCUAGAUGAUUCGUGAUGAAAAUAAGGACGGUCUGGAUUUUUUUUUUAAAUACUGUUUAUACAUUCUGGUUAAUUAGGUAUUAAAAUUUUAAAUUUUAAAAAUUGGCCACACGUCACUGGUCCUCUAACUACAGCCGCCAACCGCGAACAAAUCAAAUAAACAAUUCUGUUCACAUUAGACUAACCCCCCUCUAUACAGUGUUUAGGAUUUGACAAUCAGACCCCUUUUCAGUGGAGCUGACUUCAUUCAACCUCAAAACUUACAGUUUUUUUUUUAUUAUUAUUAUUAAUUUAUGGCGAGUAAUAUUUUCAAGUCAGCCGAAACUAAAUUUCAACUCAGAAAUCCCUUAAAUAUUGAUCCUAAUUUUCAAACAUAAAAAAUCUAUAUAAAAAAAGGAGGAACCUCUCUGGCCACGAUAAUUAUCCUUUAAAUUAAAUUUCAUCUUGUAUAUACAAGCUAUUUAACUUUUCCCAUAAUAUAAUGCAGGAGAUGUCCCCCGAAACCUCUAUUUUUAAAAAAAAUAUAUAUAGGAUUUUUUUAAUAUUAACAAAAUAAUACAAUUUACAAAAUAAUUGAUGAAAUACUAUAUUUUAAUUUAUAUGUCACUAUUGAAAAAUAUUAUGAAAUGAGAAGAGAGGAGAGGAGAAAAAACAAAUAAAAAAAGUCAUCAAAGCAUAUUGAAACUUUGAUUAUGAUAAUAUUUAUAUUAUCAAAAAAAAAUUAAUGAGAUUAAAUUAACAAUAUUAAAUUUUUUUAACAAGAAUAACUCACUUACUUUUAAUAAUAAGCAUAACUCAUUUUUUCUAUUAUUGAUGAUUUUUUUUUAAUAUUGUUGUAUUUUUUUUUUAAAUUAACAUAGAUGUUCUAAUCAACUUGCAUGAAUCUCGAUUAAUUUUAUGAGUUUUAAAAUUAAUAAUUAUUGAUUUUUAUACAGCAAACUCGCUAGGUGGUAAAGAUUUCUCUACUAUAUCUGUAAUGUUUUAAUUGUAGCUUUGAAAUUUGAAGCCUGUCUAAAGCUGGAAACAAACAGCAAAAUCCAAUCUUGGUUUUCUAACCUUUUCUUUUGUGGGGGUAAUACAUUUGAUCCCAGUGACGCGCACACCUUGGAAGUUAGAACUUCUGUGUGUUCUCCAAUUUUCUUGUUUCAGACAACUAGUCAAGUGUAGAAAUAUAGAACCAGUCACAGCCUUUGGUUUUUUGUUUCGAGCAAAGAGCAGGGCAACAUCACUUCACAUAGAAGGCAGGGUAAAAUUAUGCCAAAUCAACAUCCCCCAUACAUCACUUGGAACUGGAAAAAAAAAUUACAAACUCUUACAAUCAAUAGAUGUGUGGAUUAAUCCACAGUAGACUCACUCACAAGUCUCAUACAUCAUAGGAUUAAGCAUAACGUUCCUUGUGAAGGCUGCGUUUUUUAGCUUCUUUGUACAGGGAGAAGCAUUUAGUUUCUCUCAACAUGAAUAUCAUGAUGCUGCUCUGCUCAGCUCAGAUCAAAUGAAUGGUAAUUUCAUGGAAGUCAGCCAAAGCCCAACUGUGCACCCAAGAAAAGUCCAACCGAUACUGAUACUCAAUGCUGCCCUUAUUACUGCUGCUUCGAUCUUUUCAUAGCAAGAUUAUCGUGCAAAUAGGAAAAUAAAUAUUUAGCAACAUCUCGUUUCAAAGCAAACGUUUUACGCCUUCGGAUUACCAGAAUCCAUAAUGCAACAAUCUUCUAAAGCCUAAACAGAAAACAAAGUUGAUUUUCCAGUAGCAUUGAAGUUAAUAUGUAUCGAAAGCAACAAACAAACAUGUUUUUCGAGCUCAAGAUGACAUUUUUAGCCUGCUGCAUUCAUUGAAGGAAGAAUUUAGUAAAGAUAUUGAAAUGACAGAAAAAAUAAAAAAAUAAAAUAAAGCAUGUUAAUGCAGAAAUCUCGCUUGUUUAUAUUAUCAUCAUGUAUACAAAAAUCAAUAAUUUUUAUUAGUUUCUCCAGAAAGAAUGACUAUAAAAUCAGGAGUCCAGAUAAAAAAAACUCAAAUCCUAUAUGCACAAGCACAAUCGACAACAAAAAUCAUCAAUUGAUGUAUCAUUUCUCAUUAACCACUCUUAACGAGGCGCCAAUGAGACUGAGAAAUCAGUAGGCAAACCAAUCUUUUCAGCCCAAUUCUUUGACUCCAAAUACAAUCUAGACACUCUACCAUCAACCAGCCCCAUAUCCGGCCGCUUCUCUGGAUCAUCAUCCACACAUUCCAAUCCCAACAACAACAUCUUCUCUGCAACUUCAACUGGAUACGAAUCCUUCAUCCUCUUAUCAACCCACUUCCUCAAUUCACCCCCACCAACAGCCAUCACCUCCCUUGCCCUCUCAAUAACACUAAUUCUCUUAUAACCUCCACCUCCCUCAUCAAACACAUACCUCAACGCCUCCUCCCCAGACACCAACUCCAAAAUCACCACCCCGAAUGCAUACACGUCACAUUUCUGUGUCGUAAGUCCACUUGCCUGAAACUCAGGCGCCAUAUAGCCUCUUGUUCCCUCAAUUUUCAUUACCUUACUAUUCGACCUCCCAAAAUUUUUCGAGGAAGACCCUUCCUUCCCCACUAUCUCUCCACACAAUUCAGCAGUCCCAAAAUGACAAAUCUUGGCAUUUAAAGAAUCUUCAGUAACUGAAAUACUUAAACUUUUUAUAUGAUUAUGCACAAAUUCUGAAUUCAAACCUGAACAGUGGUGAAUAUAAUCAAGACCAUUAGCUAUAUCAGUAGCAAUCUGCAUACGAGAUAACCAAGAUGAUAAAACUGUGUAACUGGGGUUCUGUGGAUUCCUAAGACAGGUAGCUAAAUUUGCACCAUGAACAUACUCAUAAGCAAGAUAGAUAUAAUUCCCUGAAGUGGUAGCACCAAGAAGCUUGAUCACGCUACUGUGAUGACUCCUGCAAAUGGCCAAUAACCUCUGUUGAAGCUCAGGUGAUUC